rnacentral:rRNA from 1 species
GAUGAACGCUGGCGGCGUGCCUAAUACAUGCAAGUCGAGCGAAGCGGGGACGGGUGAGUAACACGUGGAUAACCUCCUAUAAGACUGGGAUAACUUCGGGAAACCGGAGCUAAACCGGAUGCUUAUAGAUGGAUCCGCGCUGCCUUAGCUAGUGGGUAAGGUAACGCCUUACCAAGGCAACGAUGCAUAGCCGACCUGAGAGGGGGAUCGGCCACCAGGGAACUGAGACACGGCCCAGACGCUGACGGGGGGCAGUGGUAGGGAAGCUUCCGCAAUGGGCGAAAGCCUGACGGAGAAACGCCGCGUGAGUGAUGAGGGUCUUGGGAUCGUAAAACUCUGUUAUUAGGGAAGCGGUACCUAAUCAGAAAGCCACGGCUAACUACGUGCCAGCAGCCGCGGUAAUUC